UACGUAGGGGGCAAGCGUUGUCCGGAUUUAUUGGGCGUAAAGAGCGUGUAGGCGGCCUGACAGGUCUGCUGUGAAAACUCGAGGCUCAACCUCGAGAUGUCGGCGGAAACCGUCUGGCUAGAGUCCGGAAGAGGAGAGUGGAAUUCCUGGUGUAGAGGUGGAAUUCGUAGAUAUUAGGAAGAACACCAGUGGCGAAGGCGGCUCACUGGUCCGGUACUGACGCUGAGGUGCGAAAGCGUGGGGAGCAAACAGG
rnacentral:rRNA from 1 species